rnacentral:rRNA from 1 species
GUGAGAUUAAGCCAUGCGAGUCGAGCGGCCCAAGCUAUGGUGGGCAGCGGCAAACGGCUCAGUAACACGUAGUUAACCUACCCUUAGGACGGGUAUAACCGUGGGAAACUGCGGCUAAUACCCGAUAGGUGAAAUGGCCUGGAAUGGUAUUUCACCCAAAGGGCAUCAGAAGCAUGCUUUCUGAUGUCGCCUAAGGAUGGGACUGCGGCCGAUUAGGUAGUCGGUGGUGUAAAGGACCACCGAGCCGAUAAUCGGUACGGGCCAUGUGAGUGGGAGCCCGGAGAUGGGAACUGAGACAAGGUCCCAGGCCCUACGGGGCGCAGCAGGCGCGAAACCUCCACAAUGCACGAAAGUGUGAUGGGGUUACCCUGAGUGCCAUCCGAUGAGGACGGCUUUUCACCAGUGUAAGGCGCUGGUGGAAUAAGGGGAGGGCAAGGCUGGUGCCAGCCGCCGCGGUAAAACCAGCUCCUCGAGUGGUCGGGAUGAUUAUUGGGCCUAAAGCGUCCGUAGCCGGUCUGGUAAGUCCCCGGUUAAAUCCGGCAGCCCAACUGUCGGCCUGCUGGGGAUACUGCUAGACUUGGGGGUGGGAUAGGCUAAAGGUACUCCCAGGGUAGGGGUGAAAUCCUAUAAUCCUGGGGGGACCACCAGUGGCGAAGGCGUUUAGCUGGAACACGCCCGACGGUGAGGGACGAAAGCCAGGGGAGCAAACCAAGCUCCAAAAACGUUUUGGCUUGGGCUUAAACCGGAUUAGAUACCCGGGUAGUCCUGGCCGUAAACGAUGCGGGCUAGGUGUUGGUCCGGCUACGAGCCGGAUCAGUGCCGAAGAGUAGUCGUUAAGCCCGCCGCCUGGGGAGUACGGUCGCAAGACUGAAACUUAAAGGAAUUGGCGGGGGAGCACCACAAGGGGUGAAGCCUGCGGUUUAAUUGGACUCAACGCCGGGAAACUUACCGGAGGAGACAGCUGGAUGAUAGCCAAGCUGAUGACUUUGCUUGACUAGCUGAGAGGUGGUGCAUGGCCGUCGUCAGUUCGUGCCGUGAGGUGUCCUGUUAAGUCAGGCAACGAACGAGACCCGUGCCUUUAUUUACCAGCGGAUCCCGAUGGGAUG